UCCAGCAGCGAACAACGUGAUAUGGUCCAAUUCUUUGAAUAGAAAUUCGCAACGCUCCUGCCAACAAUAUCUGGAGCAAUAUCCAGAGCGCCCCCAACCUAAUUAUACGUAUUUCGGAGCUUUGGACAGGAACCUUAGCCUCUAUGGAAGUUUCACUAAACCUCGAAAUAUGUAUGGGACUCGAGUGCAUCCUGAAACCGAGCAGGCGAUUAUUAAUGCUGUAAGUUUUACAACGAUAUACUUUCACAAUAACUUUUUAUCAGAUAGCUUUCGUUAAAGGUUACCCAAAAUCCGCAAGGUUCAACCAGACAAUUUUCCCGUGAAUUGAAUAUGCCAAGUACCCGUAUCCACAGAGUAUUGAGAAAAAAUCGCUAUCGCCCCUAUAAACUUCAUAUCAGUCAAGAACUUAGGCAUGGAGAUACCGAUAGAAGGCUUCAGUUUUGCAAUUGGUUGACCGAAAAACUGCAAGAUAAUGAAGACUUUUUAAACAAAAUAAUUUGGACAGAUGAAUGUAACUUUUCGACCAACGGGCUAUUUAAUCGGAAUAAUGAACAUUUUUAUUCAGUCGAAAAUCCGAGACAAAACCGCGAAGUAAGAAGACAGGGGCAUAAUUCUUUCAAUGUUUGGGUGGGUCUUUACAGGAAUCGAAUUUUGGGACCCAUUAUAUACGACGGUAAUUUAACUGCUGAGCGCUAUUUAGAUUUAAUUCUGCCAAAUAUAUUCGAUGUUCUUGAAAAUGAACCUCUUGAUAUUAUCCGCGAUUUGUGGUGGCAGCAGGAUGGUGCACCACCCUAUAAUGGAAGGAAUGUCACACGAUUUUUAAAUCAUAAUUUUCCUAAUCAGUGGAUUGGAAAUCAAGGGGUGGUGCGCUGGCCAGCUAGAAGUCCCGAUCUUUCCCCGUUGGAUUAUUUUCUUUGGGGCUAUUUAAAGAACAGACUAUUUAAGAACACCCCAAAUGAUAUAAACAUUUUACGUGCAAAUUUAUUGACAGAAUUAAGGGGUAUACGAGCCAGGACUAUCCAGCGGGCAGUGUCUGGAAAUUUACGUAGAAGGAUACAGAAAUGUAUUGAGGUGCAGGGUCAACUAUUUGAAUAUUUACUUUAAACUUAAAAUAUUGCAUUUUUUCGCAUUAAGUUCUAUUAUUUUUAGUUUGUGUUGUUCAACAUACAAAUUACCCACAUAGCAAUGAGAAGCAUAUUCAUAUCUAUAGCAUAUACCCAGAAUGUGAUUGAACGUAUAUUCUUAUUUUCAUAUUCUUAACAUGUUCUACCAAGAUAUAGUUAUGUACCACCUAUAUUCUUAGACGUAUGUUCCCGUGCAUUUAUUCAUAACAUAUGCUAAGAAUAUUUCGCCAUAUUCUUAUAAAAUACUUUAUAGGAUAUACUUCAGACGAUGUGCGUAGCAUAUGCUUAUGAUAUACCGGGAUAUAUUAUACAAAACAACAUGACAAUAGCGCCACCUGGUGCUACUGCCUCAGCCGGUAGUGGGGCCAGCCGGUAUUUUUCACAUUUUUGACGCCAUCGGUGUCAUAGACAAACGAUCGAACGAAUAUCGGUGUUUAUUUUUUAUUUUCCGUUUUGUUCUCUGUUCUUUUCUUUGAGAAACUUUUAUUAUCGUAUACGAGGCCUGUAGUUCCGUAGUCAAAAUCGUGUAUAAAAAUAGUGUAUACCGUGAGGGUUUACUGUAGCAAUGUACAUAAAUGAGGAUUGAGGGUUAGGUUUAGGAACAUUAAAUUCCAAAAAAACAUUAAGCAGGGGUAUUCUUCAGAAGACUCUGAGUUUUAUUGAAAUUUCAAAAAAGAAGACUGUCUUGUGUGUUCUAAGGAUCUAGGUAUUAGUGUAGGUAGGUACACAGCUUUUUUAGUUUGUAAUAUUUCAAUUUAUACCUAGUUUGAUAGGUUUUAAUUUUUCUAAUUAGUUUUAGUUAUUGUGUUUAAGUUAAGUUUGAAGAGGUAUCACAUAAAAUGUCAACAAAAAAACAACCAAAAAGUAAACGUUCACUUAGACGCAUAGUGACCAAAAAAACUGAAACAGAACUUUUGCUGACUUCAGAUGACACUCUAUGACCCUAUCCAGAGUUAUAAUUGAUGCAGUGAGAUGUAAUAAAUGAACCUCAAAUGCGUGUGAUGAUGAAAUAAUCAGUGAAAUAAAAAGAUGGCUGGUCAAGGCAAAGGAAAGAUUGCAAAACAAAAACAAGAGAAGUGAAAAAUUGGCUGACAAACGGAAUACACAAGAGGACAAUAAUGUAUAAAAUAUGUGGCAUUAUGUGAUUUUUAUUGAAUAAAUUUUAUAAGCAUAUUUUAUGUAGCUGAUUUUUGUAGCAAGUAUGUUCCAAGAAUGUGCUAUGCAUAUAUAGCCAAGUAUUCCCAGUAUAUUUCUAGAACAUUCCUAAUCCUAGUGCAUAGCAUAUGCUACUUGCGGCCAAAAGUAUAUGCUGAGCAUUUUCUCAGUACAUAUAACUAUAAUUCUUAGCACAUGCUCAGCACAUAUUUCCAAUAUUCUUAUACGUAAAAGUCGAUUCUAAGCACAUGCUAGGUAUAUAAUUUUGCUAUGUGGGUAGUAAUAAAUUAUAGUUGUUACUAUUGUUAUUGUUAAAAUUUAGUAUAAUAUAUCAAAUUUAUACUAUUUUUACCAUGUUAAUAAUUAAAAAAUUUCGUCAAAAACAUUGAUUUAUUCAAUAAAUGAUAGUGUUAAGAUAAAUUAUUACUUUUUAUUUCAAACAACAGGACAGUAUUAACUUUUUUUUAAUAAAAGUAAAUUUUUGACAUCAAAAUCUUGGAAAAUUAAACUAUGUGAUAUGUCAUUUCUCUAAGAAUAAAAAGGGGAAUUAAAAUGAGUAAAAAAAAUUUCAGGGCCGUAUUUAAAAAAAUAAAGUUGAUGAUGGUUGCCAAAAGACGAAACGUCGGAUUUUAAAUUUGACGACGCCAUCUGGUAGAGGAGAAAAAGUGACAAUAAUAAAGUGUCAAUUAUUUUAAAAUAUGUUUUCAAAUAACCUCACAAAAAAAUAAAAACGAUUUUCCAAAAUUUCGGUAUUUUCCGAAUAACU